AAUUCUCAACUUCAAAGGUUUAUUCUUUUUGAAGCUUGGAUGUUGGAGGACUUGCAGGCAUAUAUUCAAAUGUCAGCUCCUCUUAAAUGCAUUAGCAGAACUAGUACAGUUCGGCUCUGGUUUGAUAAUGCUAUCUAUGCCAUUGCUGAAAGGUCAAUUUGUUCAGCUUCUAAUGGUCCAUUGUGGACUGUCUCUUUGGAGGCAUUAUCUUUUG
rnacentral:misc_RNA from 1 species